GACGAACGCUGGCGGCGUGCUUAACACAUGCAAGUCGAACGGAAAGGCCCUGCUUUUGUGGGGUGCUCGAGUGGCGAACGGGUGAGUAACACGUGAGUGACCUGCCCUUGACUGUGGGAUAACUUCAGGAAACUGGGGCUAAUACCGGAUAGGAGCUCCUGCUGCAUGGUGGGGGUUGGAAAGUUUCGGCGGUGGGGGAUGGACUCGCGGCUUAUCAGCUUGUUGGUGGGGUAGUGGCUUACCAAGGCUUUGACGGGUAGCCGGCCUGAGAGGGUGACCGGCCACAUUGGGACUGAGAUACGGCCCAGACUCCUACGGGAGGCAGCAGUGGAGAAUAUUGCACAAUGGGCGGAAGCCUGAUGCAGAAGCGCCGCGUGCGGGAUGACGGCCUUCGGGUUGUAAACCGCUUUCGCCUGUGACGAAGCGUGAGUGACGGUAAUGGGUAAAGAAGCACCGGCUAACUACGUG
rnacentral:rRNA from 1 species